UACGGAGGGUGCAAGCGUUGUUCGGAAUCAUUGGGCGUAAAGCGCGUGUAGGCGGCCAUCUAAGUCUGAUGUGAAAGCCCGGGGCUUAACCCCGGAAGUGCAUUGGAUACUGGAUGGCUAGAGGACGAGAGAGGGAAGUGGAAUUCCUGGUGUAGGGGUGAAAUCCGUAGAUAUCAGGAGGAACAUCGGAGGCGAAGGCGGCUUCCUGGCUCGUUUCUGACGCUCAGACGCGAAAGCGUGGGUAGCAAACAGG
rnacentral:rRNA from 1 species